rnacentral:rRNA from 1 species
GCACUUUGCUGACGACCGGCGCACGGGUGCGUAACGCGUAUGCAAUCUACCUCUUACUGAGGGAUAGCCCAUGGAAACGUGGAUUAAUACCUCAUAGUAUUAUAGACUGGCCUCAGUUUAUGAUUAAAGGUUACGGUAAGAGAUGAGCAUGCGUCCUAUUAGCUUGAUGGUAAGGUAACGGCUUACCAUGGCAACGAUAGGUAGGGGUCCUGAGAGGGAGAUCCCCCACACUGGUACUGAGACACGGACCAGACUCCUACGGGAGGCAGCAGUGAGGAAUAUUGGACAAUGGGCGAGAGCCUGAUCCAGCCAUGCCGCGUGCAGGAAGACUGCCCUAUGGGUUGUAAACUGCUUUUACAGAGGAAGAACCCUCCUUACGUGUAAGGAGCUGACGGUACUCUAUGAAUAAGGAUCGGCUAACUCCGUGCCAGCAGCCGCGGUAAUACGGAGGAUCCAAGCGUUAUCCGGAAUCAUUGGGUUUAAAGGGUCCGUAGGCGGGUUUAUAAGUCAGUGGUGAAAGUCUGCAGCUUAACUGUAGAACUGCCAUUGAUACUGUAGAUCUUGAAUUAGUAUGAAGUGGUUAGAAUGUGUAGUGUAGCGGUGAAAUGCAUAGAUAUUACACAGAAUACCGAUUGCGAAGGCAGAUCACUAAUACUAUAUUGACGCUGAUGGACGAAAGCGUAGGUAGCGAACAGGAUUAGAUACCCUGGUAGUCUACGCCGUAAACGAUGGUU